rnacentral:rRNA from 1 species
CUUGGCACUGAACAUUGACCCUACAUGUGUAGGAUAGGUGGGAGGCUUUGAAGCACGUACGCCAGUAUGUGUGGAGCCGUCCUUGAAAUACCACCCUUGUAGUGUUGAUGUUCUAACGUCGACCCCUUAUCGGGGUUGCGGACAGUGCCUGGUGGGUAGUUUGACUGGGGCGGUCUCCUCCCAAAGAGUAACGGAGGAGCACGAAGGUGGGCUAAUCACGGUUGGACAUCGUGAGGUUAGUGCAAUGGCAUAAGCCCGCUUGACUGCGAGAAUGACAAUUCGAGCAGGUGCGAAAGCAGGUCAUAGUGAUCCGGUGGUUCUGAAUGGAAGGGCCAUCGCUCAACGGAUAAAAGGUACUCCGGGGAUAACAGGCUGAUACCGCCCAAGAGUUCAUAUCGACGGCGGUGUUUGGCACCUCGAUGUCGGCUCAUCACAUCCUGGGGCUGAAGUCGGUCCCAAGGGUAUGGCUGUUCGCCAUUUAAAGUGGUACGCGAGCUGGGUUUAGAACGUCGUGAGACAGUUCGGUCCCUAUCUGCCGUGGGCGUUGGAAGAUUGAAGGGGGCUGCUCCUAGUACGAGAGGACCGGAGUGGACGAACCUCUGGUGUUCGGGUUGUGUCGCCAGACGCAUUGCCCGGUAGCUAAGUUCGGAAUCGAUAACCGCUGAAAGCAUCUAAGCGGGAAGCGAGCCCUGAGAUGAGUCUUCCCUGAUACUUUAAGUAUCCUAAAGGGUUGUCGGAGACUACGACGUUGAUAGGUCAGGUGUGUAAGUGCUGUGAGGCAUUGAGCUAACUGAUACUAAUUGCCCGUGAGGCUUAACCAUACAACACC